AUUGAACGCUGGCGGCAGGCCUAACACAUGCAAGUCGAGCGGAUGAAGGGAGCUUGCUCCUGGAUUCAGCGGCGGACGGGUGAGUAAUGCCUAGGAAUCUGCCUGGUAGUGGGGGAUAACGUCCGGAAACGGGCGCUAAUACCGCAUACGUCCUGAAGGAGAAAGUGGGGGAUCUUCGGACCUCACGCUAUCAGAUGAGCCUAGGUCGGAUUAGCUAGUUGGUGGGGUAAAGGCCUACCAAGGCGACGAUCCGUAACUGGUCUGAGAGGAUGAUCAGUCACACUGGAGCUGAGACACGGUCCAGACUCCUACGGGAGGCAGCAGUGGAGAAUAUUGGACAAUGGGCGAAAGCCUGAUCCAGCCAUGCCGCGUGUGUGAAGAAGGUCUUCGGAUUGUAAAGCACUUUAAGUUGGGAGGAAGGGCAGUAAGUUAAUACCUUGCUGUUUUGACGUUACCAACAGAAUAAGCACCGGCUAACUUCGUG
rnacentral:rRNA from 1 species